rnacentral:snoRNA from 10 species
CCAACGUGGAUAUCCCGGGAGGUCACUCUCCCCGGGCAAUGUCCAGGUGGCGUAGAGGAGCAUAGGGUUCUGCCCUGUGAUGUACAGUCCCUUUCCACACCGUUGGAGAUCAAGCCGGGCCUCGAGUCUGCGCCUGCAUAUUCCUACAGCUUCCCAGAGUCCUCUGGACCAUGACUGGGGAGACAAACCAUGCAGGAAACACAC